CCCGAACGCGAAGAACCUUACCUACUCUUGACAUCCAGAGAAUUCGCUAGAGAUAGCUUAGUGCCUUCGGGAACUCUGAGACAGGUGCUGCAUGGCUGUCGUCAGCUCGUGUUGUGAAAUGUUGGGUUAAGUCCCGCAACGAGCGCAACCCUUAUCCUUUGUUGCCAGCACGUAAUGGUGGGAACUCAAAGGAGACUGCCGGUGAUAAACCGGAGGAAGGUGGGGAUGACGUCAAGUCAUCAUGGCCCUUACGAGUAGGGCUACACACGUGCUACAAUGGUGUAUACAAAGGGAAGCGAACUCGCGAGAGCCAGCGGACCUCAUAAAGUACGUCGUAGUCCGGAUCGGAGUCUGCAACUCGACUCCGUGAAGUCGGAAUCGCUAGUAAUCGUAGAUCAGAAUGCGUCGU
rnacentral:rRNA from 1 species